rnacentral:rRNA from 1 species
UACGUAGGGCGCAAGCGUUAUCCGGAAUUAUUGGGCGUAAAGAGCUCGUAGGCGGUUUGUCGCGUCUGCUGUGAAAUCCCGAGGCUCAACCUCGGGCCUGCAGUGGGUACGGGCAGACUAGAGUGCGGUAGGGGAGAUUGGAAUUCCUGGUGUAGCGGUGGAAUGCGCAGAUAUCAGGAGGAACACCGAUGGCGAAGGCAGAUCUCUGGGCCGUAACUGACGCUGAGGAGCGAAAGCAUGGGGAGCGAACAGG